rfam:Picea glauca, whole genome shotgun sequence.
ACAUGCCUACAACAUAGUGUUAGUGCACUGGAUCCCAUUAGAACUCCGCAGUUAAGCGCGCUCAAGCUAGAGUAGUAUUGGGAUGGGUGACCACCUAGGAAGUCCUAGUAUUUUACAUGCC